UCACACAACAUGAUAUGUUCUAUAUCACACGACCAUAAUACCAACAUGCAGUGUCACACAACACGAUAUGUUCUAUAUCACACGACCAUAAUACCAACAUGCAGUGUCACACAACAUGAUAUGUUCUAUAUCACACGACCAUAAUACCAACAUGCAGUGUCACACAACAUGAUAUGUUCUAUAUCACACGACCAUAAUACCAACAUGCAGUGUCACACAACAUGAUAUGUUCUAUAUCACACGACCAUAAUACCAACAUGCAGUGUCACACAACAUGAUAUGUUCUAUAUCACACGACCAUAAUACCAACAUGCAGUGUCACACAACAUGAUAUGUCCUAUAUCACACGACCAUAAUACCAACAACAUAAUAUUUUCUGUAACAGACCACAACAGUACCAACUUACAGCGGCCAUGUGCAUAGUCACAGAUGUACAACUGUGAUCUUUGUAACGCCCUUUCAACUAGCAGGUGUCAAUGAACCCAACAAAGUUGACCUUGCCCUAUACUCUUGAACAUACUAAGAUAUGAAUGGACGGCAAUGCAAUGGCAAUCAAAGGCAAACAAGUUGAACUUGGACAUAUUUAUCUCCAGUGUUCAUGUAUUUGAGUCUUGCCAGGAAUCCCACAGACACACUGUUUCAUGUUCACAAUGGUAAUACAUCCCCAAGACUGUGGUACCUAGUCCCUCAAGUCUUCAGAGCCUGGGUGGUAAAUACAAGCAUUUGCACAAUAAACAUAAUGCAUUAACAUCGGUACGUUACAGACACCGUGACACAGCAACACGCUGGGAGUGACAAAUUCUAAAACCACCGCCCACUGACAAUGAGAGCACCGGGUGUCUAAUGCUACAAUGUUUGAUGUACAAUAUAUACAAUAAUGACGGUUGACAGACUGUACAGGGGUGGUGCUCUCACUGUACGGUUGUACAUAGUGUGACAUACAUAUAGCUCACCUUAUCUCCCAUUAUUCCAGGUGGUGUCAGUAAGUCCCCUCUCGCAAUAGAUGUGUUUAUAGUUGUAUCUUUAAACAUUGCUGCUGCAGCGUGUAGACAUUAGCUCCAUGUCAGUGUUACGUCUCGGUGGCCCUUCGUGUUGCGGUUAAAUAGUCUUCGAUAGAUGUGUGUGUGUUUUGUUGAACUUGUUCCCACAUUGGCUAAAAACAACUUUUCUUUAUAAAUAUUAACCUAACAAUUUUUAAUACCAAUAUUUAAAUACAGCGCGUGGCCAGCCUCUGCAGCACGUAAAAGAGAAACCAUCAUCCCCAGUCAAGAUGGCGGUCGCGUUAUUUCCGGUCCGUUAAUAAGCUUAGGCCGGAUCUCUUGACAAUAUUUCUGCCCUUUACACUUGAUGAGAUAUAUACGUAACCAUGGUAACGUGACAAUUUGGUGACUUGAUUCCUGUCAUUGCCAAUAGACCUUUUAAUUGAAACGCAAUCAUGCAGAAGCCUGAUCUUGCUCACUCCUCUCGGUCGCCUAUUUAAUCGUCUAUGACCAGUGAAUCCUUCACGAUGUAUGCUCAAUAAACCGCAAUGAUAUCUUACAGUGCCGAGCCGCUGUAGAGGAAGUAGGACAAGUCUACUGCUACAUGCGCUGUCAACAACCGUGGAGAAUAGCAAUAACGCUUUUCGCGCCAGAUUAUUGUCUUGGGUUCUGACGUGUCGCGCUAACUUUAAAUGUCACUUCGUAUUAAAACCUUUUUAAUAUUUAUCCGUUACGAGCUGUCAUUGGAUGACCUUUCAGAGACACCAUUCCAACUGUAACAAUCCAAAGACAGUAAACUGAAGUGCAGCUCGGCUUUAUUGCAAUGUUCAAUUAAUUCGCAGCGAUGCUUAAGAUUAGUUUAAAUUAAGUCGCAAAGUUUAAUAUGGGCUUAACUGUUAUCGCGACGCCAGUGCCAAAUAUUGCAGCAUAAAUAGUUAACCAGCAGCUGUGCGUUGAAGCCAAAGAGGUUGACGAAACAAAUGUACUUGUCAUGGCGUACAGUUAUCUUUCAGGGAUGAUCUAGGUGCUCCUCCACCCAAGUCAGUAUUAUACCAGCUUGCCACCAUAUGCAACUUCAGGAAGUGAAAUAUACUUACUGUACUCAUACAUAUCUUAGUCUGCUGGGACUACCAGAUGAAGAUUUGCUCGAAAAUGUUUAUUUCCAAAUUUGAAUUGUUGUUAUUCACGUUCGAUACGUUGUUAGUAAUGAUUUCAGAUCACUUAACUGACGGUCGAUCUCCGCCUUGAUUGAAACGACUAGUGUUUUUGCCAAAUCGUACUGUUAGGAUAUCACUUUGUUAGCCUGGGGUGUACAUUAAUACUGUACCUCUCGAACAAUGGCAGCCAGUAUAAUAUCCGUCUCUCUUAUUUCAUCAAGUUUCACCGAUAUUACUGUUCAGGAGUACUUUGGGCAAAGUGACUGUCUCCUAUCACUACAAUUUAACAUGGCCAUAUAACGUUACCAUCACAUGUUUAUAAUCCCUAUAUCGACACUAUAUUCUUGUUAUAUAUGUAAUUGGCGUGCAAUAUGAUAAUAUGUUUUACAAAGUUUACAUAUAGGAUAUUAUAUAGCCCUCUGUUAUCGGCACUAUGUGAGCGGGAGUCUUAUAAUGUCACAAAUGAUGUUAUUCUCAGAAUAUCGCAGACUGACGUGACGUCUCAACGUUCACCACAGGCCUGAAAAUUCAGAGGUUACGUCGCACGCCGAACUUAUUGCGCGAACGUCACAGGUCUAUACGUACGUCACAAUUCUGAACGUCAUAGGUAUAUACGUACGUCACAAUUCUGAACGAAAUGGGUUUAAACGUACGUCAUACGUAUGACAGUCAUAAGUCUAAUAAACGAACGUCAUAAGUCUGAACGGUUUGAAAAGUCCAAUAUCAGUGAGUUCAAUGACUGCAAUGUAACAAGCUAUUAGAAGGGUAUAUCACAUCAAUUCAUCAUCGCCAUUUUGUCCAUAAUUCACAUUCAUCGUGUGUGAAAGUGAACCUGAUGUCAUGACUGAUAACAUGGCGUAACAGGACGUUGUAUAGGUCCGGUCCAAAUGUCUGGGCGCUACAUAGAUAAUCGAAAUGUUCCAUGCCUUUGGCGACACAGACUUUUUACCAUCACAUAUCAGGACGUUGUUAGUUUACUGAGCCACUGAUCUUGAAAUUAGAAUAUUUAAACAAAAUUAAUCAGAAUUGUAGGACUUUUUUUAUACAAUUAAAUUGGAAAUGGCAUCAACUGUCUGUUUUACACCCGGAUCAAAUCAAACUUUAAGAUGAUUUAAAAAUCCUGUACAAUGCAUUUUGUUAUGUACAUAUUUUCGAUCUCCCUACCAAAUGUUUCCCUAGCAAAAUCCGUAAACGCCAAAAUGAACAUUGUCUAGCCGUAUACAUUUCACUCAAACCUAUCAUUAGAAAUCGUUAUAAAAUUAAAUUCAUAUUACAUGACAAAUUCUUUCCCUUUGACAGUAUAUUUCCCAGUUAAUAAGUAAAUAUGUUUUAAAUUCUUACAAAGACUCACCCAGUCAUUUCGAACGGAGCUAUAUUGACAACCUGCGACUGAGUGUGCAAGGGAAACCACAGAUGUACAAACAGCCGUUCCCGUUACCUUGGUUACACAUUUUGGUAUUGUGUCUAUUACCGUUGAUCUGUUUCCAGGUGAGAUAGACACCUACCUGUGUAGUAAUAAUAAUGUGUUUUCUCAUGUAUAUUUCUGUUUUAACUUGAAAUUAGAAACUGUUUCAGUGUAAUAAAUGACGUUCAUAGUCAUCACGACAAGUGUAUGAUUAUUCUGCACGUGCUUUUUCGCGGGAAAAAUAUAACGAGCGUGUUAAACCGAUAACCGAACGAUUCCAUUGUACAGUUGAUGAGUUUAUGACAGCUAGUUUGGUUUGAUAGAAUUGUUUUGUUACUUCAUCGAUCUACUUAUUGAUAUUUCUUGUUUAAUACCUAGAAAGUGACAUAGUUUACUUCCCCCUGGUUCCACAGAGAUUCCUCUUCAGACUGACGGGAGGCAAGAUGUCCACUGUUUGCUAAAGAGGAUAUGUAUAUAAUGGUCGGGUAUCAGAUUACUCUCAGAUUUCUUUGUUGAUUAUUCCUAGUUAUUGAUAUCAGCGUAGAGGAUGUAUGCCUCAAGGUCAAGGUCACUAUACAGGUUCGUGUGAUGGUAUAAAUAUCUAAGGUUAUUUUCGUGCGGGUAGAUUGUCUAUUUGCACCGACGUUAUGUGUCAACUCCGCUUGUCUCUAUUCAGCGGGCGUUGGGUAACCCAGUGGUUGAAGCGUUCGCUCGUCACGCCGAACACCCGGGUUCGAUUCUCCACAUGGGUAUUAUGUGUGAAGCCCAUUUCUGGUGUUCUCCGCCGUGAUGCUGCUGGACUAUUGUUGAUAGCGGCGUAAAACCAUACUCACUCUAUUUAAGGUUGCUCUAAAAAGGUUUCAUAAAAAUACCAAAUCAUGAGAAUUGUAAUGCAUUAGUACCAUGGGAAUACCUAGAGAUGCAUACUGUAUUAAGACCUCCCUUCCGGAUCACCACCAUUUUACCUGUGCGAUGUUAACAUUUGACUCCAGCCUUAAUUCAAGCGUUGUUGAAAAUACAAACAAGCUGUGCCAACCACAUUCAUGAGGUCAACAUACUGUGUGUUCCAACCACUAGCAAACCUUUUAUGACGAUAUUAUAUUUACAACCUAACUCGCUCUUACAUUUACAUAUUUUGGCAUUCAUGCUUUCAUAUUUGAAAUUUUGUAAAUGGCAUUAUGAAGUUUUAACAUCUUCCAUACAUGGUACACGAUAAAGGCAGCUAAUAGGGGGGUGACGUCGAAGAGGGUGACGUCUUGCAAGGAGACGUCGCGCAGCGUCACAGGAGACGCCACCGGGCAGAGUAGAUCACGUUAUGUUGUUAGAGACUAGAACCUAGGAGUGUUGUUCUGUUAACGUUGUAACAAUGAUGGGAUGUCAUAGACGUGUUCAAGGUUCACGGUUGAUACAUUUAUGAAAUAAACUAUAGCUGUUAUUACUUA